rnacentral:sRNA from 1 species
UGGCUUCUCAUUCUUGGAUAAAUUUGGU